UUUUUCGAUCAGGCAAAGGGUCUGAAAUAACUCAUAAAUUAGAGUGUUGUCAUCAGCUUCAUCUUGUGUUUACUGAUCAAGACUGGAGUUAAACAACAACACUACAUCU